GUAGAAGAUGGAAAAUGAACUAAUCCUGUCACACUUCUGGAAGUUCUAACUCUUCUAGAGAGAGCAUGGUUUUGAUUUUACUUCCACUUCACAGAAACUUUCUAUAUAUUACAUGUCGUGUGUGUAUUUGUGUAUAAUCUAUUUUCUAGUGUAUUGAGUUUCUCCUGUAUGCAGCAUGGGAGGGUUGGUUGUCAAGCAGAUGCUGUAUAAAGCCAAGGCAGAGAAUGUUGAUAACCUUGUGAAUAACACCAUUGGAGUGGUGUUCUAUAGCUGCCCACAUUUUGGCAGCAAACUAGCAGACAUGCCUUGGCGAAUGGGCCUCGUGUUUCGCCCUGCCCCCACUGUUAGUAUAUCGUCUUCAGAGACAAACCUUUUUUGUACUUGAAGUUGAUCUGAAUUGAUAUUAAUAGCAUUUAGCUUGUAUUGUUUCUUAGAUAGGGGAGCUAGUAAGUGGGUCUCCUAGAUUAAUAGAGCUUAAUGACUUCUUUCGACACCUUCAUAAGAAAGGGAUGCUUGAUGUUCUCAGUUUCUGUGAGACCAAGGUAACUCCAAUUGUUGAAGGUUAUGGGGGAAGGGCUUUCCAAAUGGAAGUAGUAACCAUUGAGUCUGCAUAUCCUGGAUUUGGUGAACUUGUUGUAAGUAUGACGUUGAUAAACAUGUCAUUUAAAAAGAAAACCAAAAAAAAGAGGAAGAAAAAAUAGUCAAAAGGCCCAAAUAAUCGCAGGGGUUUUUUAGUUGGGUAUGACUUAUGAGUGUCUUUUAGUCUGUAAGUUUCAUUGCUAUUUGAGUGUUGGCUGCUCAAUAUCACUAUAUGCUCUAUGUCCCUCACCUCUUGCAAGUUAGAUACAAUCCUCCAUUGGAAUUCAUGUUGUAUGUACUUGUCAGUACAGCAGGACUUGUGGAUUUGGUCUGGCCUGCAUGAGAUUCUUUGUGAAUACAGUAGCUAUCCAUUAUAUCGAAUAAAUUUUUGUUUUGUUAGAAAGGAGAGAUGGUUGGCAAUCUCCCGACAGAUGGUUUGAUAGUUUGACCGAUUGGGGUUUUUUCUUCUUUUUUUUCU